rnacentral:rRNA from 1 species
CUAGGAAUCUGCCUGGUAGUGGGGGAUAACGYUCCGAAAGGAACGCUAAUACCGCAUACGUCCUACGGGAGAAAGCAGGGGACCUUCGGGCCUUGCGCUAUCAGAUGAGCCUAGGUCGGAUUAGCUAGUUGGUGAGGUAAUGGCUCACCAAGGCGACGAUCCGUAACUGGUCUGAGAGGAUGAUCAGUCACACUGGAACUGAGACACGGUCCAGACUCCUACGGGAGGCAGCAGUGGGGAAUAUUGGACAAUGGGCGAAAGCCUGAUCCAGCCAUGCCGCGUGUGUGAAGAAGGUCUUCGGAUUGUAAAGCACUUUAAGUUGGGAGGAAGGGCAUUAACCUAAUACGUUAGUGUUUUGACGUUACCGACAGAAUAAGCACCGGCUAACUUCGUGCCAGCAGCCGCGGUAAUACGAAGGGUGCAAGCGUUAAUCGGAAUUACUGGGCGUAAAGCGCGCGUAGGUGGUUCGUUAAGUUGGAUGUGAAAGCCCCGGGCUCAACCUGGGAACUGCAUCCAAAACUGGCGAGCUAGAGUACGGUAGAGGGUGGUGGAAUUUCCUGUGUAGCGGUGAAAUGCGUAAAUAGGAAGGAACACCAGUGGCGAAGGCGACCAC